rnacentral:lncRNA from 1 species
UCCUCCACACCAUGCCACAUGAUAGGGGACAGGCCCCUCUAGGAUUUGGUGCCCAAUUCUUGCCAAAAGAGAAGGAAGGCACCAUCCAAUCUUCCAUCUAUUCUACAUGCACACUUAGAGAUAAUUAGGAGAUAAAGAAGAGAUAAUGCUAGGAUAAUUGUGCUAAUUUAUUAACUUAAUCAAAUUCUCUUGGGCUCAUAAUUAAGAGUCCAAUUAAAUCUAAAUGGAUUUAGGUUAGAUUCAAGACUAUAGACUUGAUCAAAUCUAAGUUUCGAGAAAAAUUAGGUUUAACCAUGUGCUAGC